rnacentral:rRNA from 1 species
UACGUAGGGUGCGAGCGUUAAUCGGAAUUACUGGGCGUAAAGCGUGCGCAGGCGGUUUUGUAAGUCAGAUGUGAAAUCCCCGGGCUCAACCUGGGAACUGCGUUUGAAACUACAAGGCUAGAGUGUAGCAGAGGGGGGUAGAAUUCCACGUGUAGCAGUGAAAUGCGUAGAGAUGUGGAGGAAUACCAAUGGCGAAGGCAGCCCCCUGGGUUAACACUGACGCUGAGGCACGAAAGCGUGGGGAGCAAACAGG